UUUUGAUAUUCCAAAUAUGUACUUCUAAUUAAUUUUAGCGAGUAUAAAUACGAGUGGCAAUUUUAAAACUUACAUAGUAAAGAUUUUCUACUCCUCUAAUAAACAACAGUCAAUAUGAUCAAAUUGGUGAUCGUCGCCUUUUGCUUGGCAAGUAUUUCUUUUGCCAAACCUGCUCCAGUAGCUAAUCCGGGAAUUGUUCACGUGGAUACUUACAGUCCUCCAAUCACCACGUUCCAACUAAAAGCUAAACUUGUUCCUGUGACUUAUCAAGCGGAGCAACAUUCUGUGUAUAUUGAACCAGAUCAUUAUUUGUUGUAAUUAUUUUCAUUGAUGAACAAAUUUAGAAAUAUAUGCAUAUGAAAUGGCAA